rnacentral:lncRNA from 1 species
GGCAGGAACAACACCGGGAGUCUGGUUUAAAUUGCAAAAAUGAGCGAACUUGGAAAGUGAGCCUGAGCGCUCUGGUCAGCCGGGCCAAGCUAAAAACUUGGCAUGUGCUUUUUGCCCAGAUUUCCUCGAUGGAGCCUGGAGAACUUGAAGCAGUGCCAGGAGCCCAGGGGAGUGAGAGGUGAUGCAGAGCAGUGCAGCCUCUGCAGGCUGCACAUCCCCGCUUCUCCUCUUGCUGCUGUUCCUGGGAAUUUGUCAGCAAGGAAGUUCCUUACGUCCGGCACGCAAGUAGCAGUGUGGGAGGACAUCCGUGGGCAUGCAGGGGAAUCUCGUGUGUGUUGUCACCACAGCCCCGGCCCGAAGGCAGGUGUGGGGACAUGAGGGUCGCCUUUGCUGCCUGACCUCCAGCAGGACCAUCCUCUAAAGCUGGAUGAGCUGCGGUCAGUCUGAUAAACCUCCCAAACGUGGCCUCGGUGGUGUCAGUGGGCACAUGAACAGGGAAUCAGCGCUACGUGUGUACAGAUACCUUCUAACCUCGGGCAGUGAACAGUGGCCUCAAAAUGGCUUUUGUGUCUGCAGGGGAGGGGACACCAGUACCGGGGCCAGGAGGCAGCUGAGAUGAGUCCUUCCCAUGUAGGGAUGGGGGGAGCUUGGGCAGGAGCACGGGGGCAGCAGGAGGGGGAUUUGCUGGACUGGCACAGCUCUGGUCCUGCUCCGCAUUGCUCCAGCUUGGUAUCGGUGUGAGAGAUCUCCUCUGCCCAUCCCCUGCCCUGAGGAUCAGGACACACUUAAUAAUACUGUUUCACACCAAUGAAAGCCACCUAAUUUUACUGAAUAUUUUUUAGUUUACCUUUUAUUUUGGGAGUGAGUAUGAUGGAUGGCUUGAUGUUUUUAAAGACAUUUUACAGCUGUUUGACCACAGGAAACAUUUUGUCAGCAGUGUUUUGUAAAGAGGCAGGGGGACUGGUGAUGCCAGAAAAUGGCCUGCUCUCUGAAUACACAGCGAGACACGAGGGCAGCAGCUGUUCCGGAGGCUCCCAGUGCACAGAGUCCAGCAGCAUGGUUGAGAGCAGCUGGGUCCCCUGUGAGUCCUGGGGUUUCAGAUCAGAGGAAGGAGCUGCAGGAAAAACAGAGCCUGAAAUGGCCAGCUGAACUGCCAGGUAAGAUGCUGGGAGCUUACAGGGUGUGUGAGCUCCUUCAGCCUGGGCGGCUUCUCUGUCCGAGCUGGUCCAGUUCCACUGGGAGCUCUGGUAUCCUCGGACGUGCUUAGGAAAAGCUGCGGUUAGCUAAGCACGUAAAUGAGAUGGGCUGCUUCCCUCCACCUUUCCAGAGCAGCUCACGGACUAAUUUAGGUCAGAAAGGGGCU